CUAAAUUCUUCAUUUUUGCGUUUCUUUAAUGAUUGUGAGAGUUGUCAGAGUCAAAAGGAGUCACAAUGUUAGGAAAACUCUGACAACAGAGCUGAAAAAGGCCAUAAAGAGAAUGUUCUUACUGUUUAUCUGAUAACAAAACAAACUAGGAAAAACACAACCUUGAACAAAGGCCAUUGCAAUCUUAGAAUACUUCUGUUAGGGCAUUUGCCCAUCAACUGCCUGUUUAAACUUGGCCUGGCAUUACCCUUGUUAUUAAUAUUUGUAGUGAAAGAUAAGUAUUUCAAAACGUUUAUUUAAUCCUUAUUUUUUCCUAUAAAAACCUUUGUCUUCCUUAACUUCCCUGAAUACAUACAUAAUUUACUAUGACAAACAUAUACCCAUUACAACA
rnacentral:lncRNA from 1 species